rnacentral:rRNA from 1 species
UACAGAGACCUCAAGCGUUAUCCGGAAUCAUUGGGCGUAAAGCGUACCGAUAGGUGGUUUUUACAAGUCAGAAGUGAAAUCUCUCAGCUCAACUGGGAGACUGUCUUUUGAAACUGUAAAACUAGAAGGGCAAAGAGGAAGCUGGAACAAGCGGUGUAGUAGUGAAAUGCGUUGAUAUCGCUUGGAACACCAAUAGCGUAGGCAGGCUUCUGGGUGCCACUUGACACUGCUAGGACGAAAGCGUGGGUAGCGAA